rnacentral:rRNA from 1 species
UAUCUCUGUAGAGUCUGCAUAUCAAUAAGCGGAGGAAAAGGAACUAACAAGGAUUCCCCUCAGUAACGGCGAGUGAAGCGGGAAGAGCUCAAACUUGAAAUCUUCAAGGUUUACCUUGACGAAUUGUAGUUUAAAGAAGUGUUUUCUGUUGGAGUUUUGGUAAAAGUUCUUUGGAAUAGGACAUCAUAGAGGGUGAGAAUCCCGUAUUUGACCAUUAUUUCCAGCUUUGUGAUACACUUUCAAAGAGUCGGAUUGUUUGGGAAUGCAGUCCAAAAUGGGUGGUAAAUUUCAUCUAAAGCUAAAUAUUGGCGAGAGACCGAUAGCGAACAAGUACCGUGAGGGAAAGAUGAAAAGAACUUUGAAAGGAGAGUUAAACAGUACGUGAAAUUGUCAAAAGGGAAGCGUUUGACACCAGUGUUGUUUCUACGAAAAUCAAUUUAUGAUGGCUUGAUGCUAAGCUUUAAGACUUUAUCCGCUUGUUGUUUAGUUUUCUUGUCUUUGUGAAUGCACUUUUCGUGGAACAAGUCAACAUCAAUUUCUUUUGCUGUAAAAGGGUAAGAGGAAGGUGGCUUCGGCUUCGGUUGAAGUGUUUAUAGCCUUUUAUCUCUGCAGUCGGAGAGAUUGAGGUCUGCAGCGUAGACUCUUCGGGGUUAGAUACGUCGGUGCUAAGCUAUAGCUUUUCAUAGACAACUUGUUGACUAUGUUUAGUCAUGUGGCUUACCCGCUGGCGCUAUUUUACCUACGCUUAGGAUGUUGAGUCAUCACACAUCUCU